CGGUGCGGAAGGGUCGCGCCUCCUCUCCCGCGCCCCUGGCUGCGGAGUCGGACUGAAGGAGGCACCUGUUCUGAUGUUCCCUCCAGGGCGGUGGCCAGAGGCCCGACGUGGUCCGUCCAGACUAAGGUUUGAACAAAGGAAAUUCAUCCUGAAAUGCUACUAGAAGUUUGAAAAUACAGUUGAAGUACAAACACUGCCUUUAUAAUUAUUAAAAGUGUGUAUACCCA